rnacentral:lncRNA from 1 species
AUUUUCUCUAUCCUCAAUCAUCUUCACCACACUAUCAAUACUUGGGCGCUCAUCUGGUAAAGAAGAAACACAAGAUAUAGCAAUCUGCAGCAACAUUACCAUCUCUUCAUCUUCUAUACCACUAUUGUACCUCAUCAACUCCAAAUCAAACACUUCAGCUGUCCAUUCUUCCCUAACCACUGACUGAACCCAUCUAGGAAGGUCCACAUUUUCAGACACACCAUUUUCAGAGCUCAUUAAUGGCUUUCUCCCUGUCAACAUCUCCAGUAGUAAAACACCAAAUGCAUAUAUAUCUGCCUUUUGAUGAGAAAAAUGUGUCCCCUCUAUCAAUGUUUCAGGUGCACGGUAUCCGUUGGAUCUUGACAUUAUGGGCACAGUUACAAACGCAGAGAGGUCAAAAUCUAUAAGCCGAGGGUUACCAGUUGGAUCAAUAAGAACGUUGGUAGACUUUAUGUUGCCAUGUGAAAGUCUAGGUCCCUGUAAAGAGUAGUGGUGAAUGUAGUUUAGUCCAUGAGCCACUCCCGCUGCAAUCUUCAACCUGGUAGUCCAGUCAACAUGGGCAGAUCUGACACCAGGUUCACCAUGAAGAAGGGAAUACAAACUUCCGUUAGACAUGUAUUCAUAAAUCAGCAUCUUGUCACCUUUAGAAAAAUAAUAAGCUUUUAAACUAACAACAUUAUUGUGUUGUAACUUCCCCAACACCUCCAGAUAUUUCUCAAACACCUCUUGCUUUUCACCAUCUUGUAUUAUUUUUACCCUAUUAACGCAAACAACUACACCAUUUUCUAAAACUGCUUUAUACUUUGUUCCAAAAUCACCUCUCCCCAGCACUUCAGCUGAAGCUCUCAACAAAUCUUCCAAAUCAAACUGUCUGAUUCCUUCAAAGAAAACCAGUUCGUUCUUGAAACCAGCUUGAUGAGAUUUGUUCGGACUUAACGAGGAGACAAUUUUCUCCGUUUCGGCGAACUGUGAACCUUUUUUAUUUCCAAAUUUCCCCAACUUUUUUGAGAUAUAGCUUAAGAGACCACCAGUCUUGACAGGUAAGCUGAAAGCAGAAGGGUUAGUUUCAUCAAUCCUGCAUGAUUAAAAAGCUUAAAUUAAGUUUUAUUAGUUCUUACGUGAUACUAAUUUCAUAAAGUCUGAAAUCUGAACACUGGGAUCUAUAAAAGUGAAGAUGCAAUUUUUUCUCUUAAACAAUCAACAACAUAGUUUAUUAUGAAAUAUUCUUAGUUGUGAAAUACAGCUAGCAAUCAUACCUUUCAUCCAUGGUAGGCAAGACUUCUGAAGUCUCUGGAAUCGCCUCUAUUGUUGGUGGUAGCACUGAAGAUUCCAAGGACUGCCCAAACUGAAAUGGAUAGGGAGGCGUCCCAACUGGUAUCUUUUUCUGAAGCAUUAACACCACAUCGCUCAUGGAUGGUCUUAUUUCAGGUGUAUACUGUGCACACCAUAAUGCAACCGUAGAUAAUAUCUUUGCUUUUUCGCUAUCCUUCUCCGAAAUGCCACAAUCCUUCAUAAUUUUAUCUAGUUGUCCAUUCUUAUAGUUCUCCCAUACUUGUUGUGGAAACCAAUUUUCUCCUUCCCCAUUGCGUCGCCUCCCUAAAACUUCAAACAGCAUCAUGCCAAAGCUGUAAACAUCACAUUUAUAAGUUACUUGUGAAGAUGGCAUCCAAGUUUCUGGUGCAUUAUAACCUACUGUCCCUCUAAUUCUACUUAAGGAGACACGACUUACAUCCCUUUUCAUAAGCUUUGCCAAUCCAAAAUCUGUAAUUUUAGGAGAAAGAUUUUUAUCAAGAAGCACAUUACCCGCCUUUAUGUCAUAGUGUAUAAUUCUCUCGUCCCAACCUUCAUGCAAAUAAUCGAUCCCCUUUGCUAUCUCAAUAGCAAUACCAUACAACCUUUCCCAUUCUAUACUACUGCCAUGGUUAUCAUACAAAAUCUUAUCUAGAGAUCCAUUUUCCAUAUAUUCAUACACAAGUGCUUUCAUGUCGCGUUCAAAGCAAUACCCAAAUAGUUUCACUAAGUUACGAUGGUAAGCUUUGCCCAUUGUUCUGACUUCAGCCAUGAAGGUCUCUUCCACGACAUCCAUCUUUGCUAGUACCUUGACAGCUAUAUGCAAACCCCCAGGAAACUGACCCUUGUAAACUUCUCCAUACCCACCAAAGCCAAUAGGUAUAGAAAAUUUAAAGGUAAACUUUUCAAGAUCCCCAUAAGAAUAUGGCUUUGGUCCCAGUUCACUUAAGAACUUUUCAACUUCUGAGUUAGCAUCUUCAAGUACAACAGAAUUCGUCAUAGUACAUCCCAAGUAGAAGAUGGAAGACAAAAGUGGCAAUUACAACUUAACUCCUCCUGUGAUAAGAACAGUUUAUGAGAAAUCGCUCCGUGUUCAAUAAACUGAAAUCAUUAAUGUCCUCUAUAUGAAAUUAUUCUUACUCAGACUAAACAAGAAUUGUCCCAAAGCAAUUUGAACAAAUGGUUAUAAUUACAAUAAGUGCAUUUUUAUCAAAACCCCGAAGCAAUUUUGAAACACAAACCCCCCCAUAUAGCUACUAUAUAUACUAGUGUCUAGUAUACUACUAAACAUUUUAUCUUGAAUCAAGAAGGAUAGUCAGGUAGAUAUAUAUAAGAGAUGGAAUGAAGUAAAAUUACCUGUUUAAAUGAUAUUGCAAAGGUGUGGCAAAUCUGUAUUGAAGAAAAAAACCAAAGUCCAAGCAAAACUCCACUAUCAAAAGAGAUAAAAAAGAGUGAGGUAUAGAGAUUGAUUCCCCCAACCCCAAAGUUUUCUUUAGCUUCUCUGUUCUUUCUCUCAAAUUCAUAAAUCAUAGUUAAGCUCGAUCUAACAGAGGAAUGUAAUUGGAGUUUAAUAAUAAUUAAGCUAGUUCGUGGAAAAUGUUCCUAGUUACUUAUUCCAUAUCUAAUGAAAGAAAAAAACAAAGAACAACUCGUUAAUAUACAAUCUCAAUGUCAACAUCAACUUGUGGAGUUUUUCCAUUAAUGAGAUUGUUAAUAGUAAUUGCAGGCUUACGCUAUUUCCUGCUUUGGUUUAAGCAAUGAGUCCAAUGUCUAGUUGUUGUUUAUGUUUCUUAAGCAAAAAGAAAGACAUGAUGAUAUUCAAGUAUACAAAAAUACUGCCUAAAAGACAGAAAAUGUUCUGAUUUCUUCAAUUGGUUAAAACACUUACAGUUUAGCUUAAAGAAAAAAGAAAAAUCAUGCCUUUGGAAUCCCAUAUAACAAAAUCUUUAACUUGCCCUCUUCUUCCAUCUUUCUUACUUCCUGAUCUCCACCAAUAAACCUUCCUUUAACAAACACAGCAGGAACCACUGUUUGAUCUAAUAACUUAACCAAUUCAUCCCUAUAGUCCGAAUUCAAAUGAAUGUUUCGCUCUGACAUCUUCACUUGAUAUGAUUCUAAUAUUUCACAAAUAGCACGACACCCAUGUUCCAUAUAUGCUCUGGCGGUACUUGUGUAAAUAAUAACACAAUUUUCACCUCCAGGAGGGCACUUCUUCUCGAACUUUUUUAGCAUCAAUUCUGAUACUCUUACUUUCAGCACAUCAUCAGUGGACUUUUUGAGCAUCAAUUCUGACUCUCUUGCUUUCAUGAGUUUCAUCAAAUCAUCAUAUUCCUCUCCCACCUGUUCUUCCCCUUCCCACUUUGCUGCAGUCACUUCACUACUCGUUUCCCAAAAAUAUUUUGACGUCGUUUCAAAGUUGUCCUCUGCCAGUUGUUUUCUCUUUUCUUCUUCCUUUACCGGGGAGCGUGACCAGGGUGAUGGUUCAAAAAGGUUUCCAUUUAUUUUAUUCGCUGCCGGUUGUUUUCUCUUUUCUUCUUCCUUUACUGGGGAGCGUGACCAGGGUGAUGGUUCAAAAAGGUUUCCAUUUAUUUUAUUCGCCGGGAAAUCAUAAGUCAGUUCACUACUAUUUCCGGUCUUAAAUUUCGGCAGCAUCACUCCAUAUUCCGAAAUAGAUUUCAUCGUGGUUCCAUAGUCGUUCUCUGCCUGUUGUUUUCUCUUUUCUUCAUCCUUUACAGGGGCUGAGGCAGGAAUGGCUGUCACACUGCAAAUAAAAGGAUUAACUUUUUCACUCUUUCAUUCUGUUUCUUGCUUGUUUCAUGCCAGAAAAUUUUAAAUGGGUGAUAUGAAUUUAAGUGUUUUCUCUUCAGAAGUAAUUACGGAACAAUGAUGAAAAUCUCUAUUGUCAAAGAAAAAUGAUUCUAAAUUUCUAUAGUAAGACCUUUUAAGAAACAAAGUAUAUAUUUAAAAAAUAAACAUUACAAUUUAUUGCAUUUCUUAGUUCAUACUGUAUUCAUCCAUAUCUAGAUGCCAAUUCUUUCCUCUUUUUUUAUUCUACAAAAGGAUUAGUCUUGACAUGAAGUUUCAAACAUAAAUUAUUUUCACAUAGAUGCUAAGCUCAAUUGUGCAAUAUCAAAUGGCUCAAUUAGCACGCCAAUGCAUAAUUUAAGAAAAGACCAUAAUGCUGUGGUCAUAGUUUUUUAUCAAUUGUGCAAUAUCAAUUAGGCUUUUUAAAUAAACCUAUGCAACCAAGAAAACAAAUUACAUGGCUAGUGUUUACCUUUCAUCAACUUCUAGAUUAACCUCUGGAAGCACCUCUAGUAAUGAUGGUAGCAUUGAAAAACUGGAGGACUGCCCAAACUGAAAUGGAUAGGGAGGCUUCCUAACAGGUAUUUCAUUCUCAAGCACCAUUACAACCUUGUUCAUUGGAGGUCUUAUUUCGGGAUUAUAUUGAGAGCACCAUAACGCAACCGUAGAUAAUAACUUUGCUUUCCCUCUAUCUUUCUCUGUGAUGCCACAGUCCUUUAUAAGUUGGUCUAGCUGUCCAUUAUUAAACUUUUGCCAAACUUGUUCCGGAAACCAGUUUUCGCAUUCUCCGUUGCUUCUCUUCCCUAAAAUUUCAAAUAACAUCAUGCCAAAGCUAUAAACAUCACAUUUGUAAGUUACGUGUGAUCCCGGCAACCACGUCUCUGGGGCAUUAUAACCCUGGGUGCCUCUGGUUCUGGUCAAGGGGACUUGCGAGAUAUCCCUUCUCAUAAGCUUUGCUAAUCCAAAAUCUGUAAUUCUAGGGGAAAAAUUCUUGUCAAGGAGCACAUUACCAGCCUUUAUGUCAUAGUGAAUUAUUUGUUCAUCCCAACCAUCAUGCAAAUAGUGAAGCCCCCUUGCAGUCUGAACUGCAAUACUAUACAAUGUCACCCAGUCUAUACCACUACCGUGGUUCUCGUACAAAAUCGUAUCCAAAGAACCGUUCUCCAUAUAUUCAUAAACAAGUGCUUUCAUGUUAUGCUCAAAGCAAUACCCAUAGAGUUUCACUAAGUUUCGAUGGUAAGCCUUGCCCAUUGUGCUAAUUUCGGCCAUGAAUAUCUCUUCAACAACAUCUUUCGUCGCCAGUACUUUAACAGCUACUUGCAAACCACCAGGAAAUUUGCCUUGGUAGACAUCUCCAUACCCACCAGACCCUAUUUUAUUAAAUUCCGAGAAAUUUGAUGUAAGCUUUUCAAGAUCCCCAUGAGAGUAUGGCUUUGGACCCAAUUCACUUAAGAACUUUUCAACCAAAUCUGAGCUGGUGGCUCCUUCCAAUCUACUAGGAUUCAUCAUAUCUGUGACCUAGCUACAAAUCUCUGCCCUAGCAAGUAAAACACAGAAUAUAGAGUAAAAUUGACAACUACAAAAUUUCUCUAUAAAAUUUUUGAUUGUUCCCAAACUAGGUAAAUCACAGAAGAGAUGGAAAUUUUGAGUUUACCUUUCUAAGUGAAGUCGUGGCAGAGAUGACUGGAGAUCAAAAACCCGCAAAGAAGAAGAAGAAGUGAUCAGUUCUCCCAAAUUUAAUUUUUAUUUUUGGCUCCUCACAACCCUUAAUUUCUUUCUCUAAUCUUCUUAACAAAGAUGGUGAAUUAUAUUUCUACAAGUUUAAAUAAACAGAUGAAGAGAAACAAAGAUGAUGGAAAGUAGAAUGGAUGACCCUUCAAAUCUCUUUUUGGAAGAUAAUGUCGGUUAAUGGUGGGGAAGGAACUUCUUUUUCUUCUUUAAAAACAACAUAAAAAUAAGAUCAACUGUCCCACACAAUUCAUAAAUAGUGACUUCCACUCCAAAUCCAAGCCCCACAACUUUAAAUAAUUGAAAGACAAUCAACAGUCUAAAAAUGUAAAGAAGAAGAAGAGAUGGGAAUCUUGAGUUUUUACCUUUCUAUAUGAAGUACAGGUCUGGAAACCAGAGCCACCAAGAGAGAGCAGUUCUCCUUCUCCAAAAACCAUAAUAUGGUUAUCUAUCUUUUUCUCUCAGAACCAUUUCUUUCUCUCAGCUCAAGUUGUGAAGUUGGGUCAUAAGUAAAUGUUUUUGCCAGAUUAUACUGUAUAUAUAUUACUAGUAUAUUAGAAAACAAUGCAGGUUGAUUGAAUAAUAAAGAAUUCUAAAAAGAUAGUGGUUUGAUUUUGAUCUCUAUGGUUACAGAGCUGCUGAUCACAAAUCUAUCUCCACUACAAAACAAUGUUAAUCAAAGAUACUACUAAAACUUGUUGACAGAAAUGACGAAAUGUCUUCUCUACUCUCCCCCAAUUUCCUCAAUCCUCGUCACCACACUAUCCAUACUUGGGCGCUGAUCUGGAUAAGAAGUAACACAAUCCAUCCCAAUCUGCAGCAACAUUAUCAUCUCUUCUUCAUUGUCAGAGUACCUCAUCAACUCCAAAUCAAACACUUCAGCUGUCCAUUCUUCCCUAACCACUGACUGAACCCAUCUAGGAAGGUCCACAUUUUCAGACACACCAUUUUCAGAGCUCAUUAAUGG